GGAUGUAGCUUAGUCGGUAGAGCGCCAGAUUGUGGCUCUGGAGGUCGAGGGUUCGAUUCCCUCCAUU
rnacentral:tRNA from 1 species